rnacentral:rRNA from 1 species
CCUACGGGUGGCUGCAGUGGGGAAUUUUGGACAAUGGGGGCAACCCUGAUCCAGCCAUGCCGCGUGCGGGAAGAAGGCCUUCGGGUUGUAAACCGCUUUUGUCAGGGAAGAAAUCUUCCGAGCUAAUACCUUGGGAGGAUGACGGUACCUGAAGAAUAAGCACCGGCUAACUACGUGCCAGCAGCCGCGGUAAUACGUAGGGUGCAAGCGUUAAUCGGAAUUACUGCGCGCGGAUGUGCAACAGGCGUUUGAAAUCCCAGGGCUUAACCUGGGAACUGCACUUGUGACGGUACGGCUGGAGUACGGCAGAGGGGGAUGGAAUUCCGCGUGUAGCAGUGAAAUGCGUAGAUAUGCGGAGGAACACCGAUGGCGAAGGCAGUCCCCUGGGCCUGUACUGACGCUCAUGCACGAAAGCGUGGGGAGCAAACAGGAUUAGAUACCCUAGUAGUC